rnacentral:snRNA from 1 species
UUGCUCUUUCAGCAGCACACAUAAAACUGGAAUGAUAUAGAGAAAGUGAGCAUGGCCCAUUGCACAAGGAUGACAUACAAAUUCGGGAAAUGUUCCAAAACCAU